UAAAAAUUAAGUAUUUAAAUAGAAGGCUUCUAACUUUUUAUUGUAUAAUUUACAAUUAUGCAUUUUUAU
rnacentral:tRNA from 1 species